UGACUUUCCAAAACAAACUAUACAAAUUUAUAUACAUUUAAAUCAGGUUAUCAAAUGAACUAAACCUCUACCAAAACACGGUUCAUGAACAAAAAAAGAAAAACACUUGUGCUCCGCAGAGCUAAAAACCUUUUCUCAAAAUGUGAUCACAACCACUUUUCCACAGCAGUAAACAGGAAUAAACAAACAUCAUCAGUCAUAGUAUCAUUUAACUGUAGAAACACUGGGUCAAGAGCAUUAGGCCUAUAUAUGGCUACAUCAAAUGAAUGACCAUCUGUCACUUUAACACACAUUCUUCACAACCAGUCUCAAUAAACAUUACAAUAGUUACAAUAAAAUAAUCAUAUUCUGGUCUCUGAAUGUAUUUCAAACACUAAGCAACACUGUGGAAUCUGGACAACCUGCUGUGAACCUCAGAUAAAACAUGGAGUCAAACUGCUGAACGAUUCUUUGAUUUCAGAUUUCAACCUCAAAUUUUUCAUUUAGCAAAGGCAAGCAUAAAAGAUGUGUGGCCGUUAAAUGAUGAGACUAAGGCUGUUAAUCUAUUUUUGUGAUUUUUGUUUUUAAUUGAAGCAGAUUGAAACUGUCAGAGGUUGUUGAUGGAUAAGCACUAUAUGGUUCAUGGUUCCACUGACAUGAGCUCAGUCUCACUAUCGAUACAUUUUGCAGCAUCAAAGUCAUUUGUUCUGAAGUUCAAACUAAUUUGUAACUUCAGUCCAAUUUACUGUCUGCUGUUGAAUGGCUUUAGUUCUUAGUGACUAAAAGUCUUGAUCCAAAAUAAAACAUUACUAAAUGGAAUACAUGAAUAAAUGGCAGAAAAACAAUGAUGUCAUGGGAGCUUAUCGUAGAAAAACAUGAACAGCAGUCAACAGCAGUGCCUUAAAUGAAACUAUUUGACCUUGUUUUAAUUGUACCAUGAAUUGCUCAAGAUUUAUCAAUUUCAUUCUCAGAGUCAGGAAAGUUACAUUUGUUGCAAUGACAGCAAAAACACCAUUUCUGUGUGUCUGUAACUACAAAUUUAAACAGCAGCUUAAUGUAUUUUUUGCAAGUCGCAAGUUUUCGCAGACUGUGUCCCAUUAGAACAAAGGGCCAGCCAUUUACCAGCCUAUCCCUUGCUUUAGUUUGGGAAGAACGUCUUUAACAUCUCCAGAUAUGCUCCAGGGUACAUUUUGGAAUGGCCCUUUGUGUUCAAAACAGAACUUGAUGCUAUCUAAAUUUUAAAAAAUCUACAUAAUUCUAAUAUUUUUAUUGUUUUCAUAUGCCUGUGAUAAGCGGUUUUCCCUAAUGCAUGAACUGGCUGAGUAUACACUAUUGCUAUGACUGUGGGCACGCUGUGUGCUUUCCUAGGUGUUCACAUUACAAAUAGACCAGACCAGUAUGGAGUCCAAACGAAAGGAACUUGUAGAGGAGAUGAAGAAACGUCGUCCAACUGCUGCUCUGAUAACCAAAAACAUGGACUCGACUUUUGCCUUGAGAAGACAAGAGUUGAUGAACUUGGAGCCUCCAGUGAAUGACACAAUGGAAAGGUGGCCAGCACUCUUUACAGAGUGUCAGAUUCCGGCAGAGUUCUGUCGCUUGUCAAGCAAAAACUUGAAUACAGAAUUCUUCAAAGAACUUGACAAAUACACUCCUCGCUUCUUUGAGAUCUUCAAGACCAAGGGGGGAAGUGUUGGCCAGAAACUUAAGAAUUAUCUGCAACAAGACAAGUCACACCAGAGAGUACAGAUGUUUCUGCGAAGUGAACAGCUGUCCUCCGUGGCCUUCCUGUCAUCCUUGGAGAUGAGAACACAGACUUCUUCAUGACAUGCUUUGACUGUGAUGACCCAGGCAUAUCUCACAUCCCCAUUGGAAUCCUGAGGACGAACAGCUCUCCCUUGACUCACUGCACCUUCAGACUUCAGGUACUGCAAUCAUUUUGGAAGGAAGAAUUGUGAUGGAAGACCUUGAAAAUCUUCCACAUGCCAUGUGCUUGCUCUUUGGACUUACUUACGCCCUGAAUUUGGAGUACCCUCAACAACUGAAGUACACCUUUGACGUCAUUCAAAGGGUGCUUCUCUCACUUGGACAUAAAUCCCUAAAACCAAAAAUACAAUCACUCAAAAAUCUUCUGAUGCAAUGAGUGAAUGUAAUCAUGAUGUGAAUGUGGCUUGACAUCUUGGGUCACAUUGAUACCUUUACCCUUAUUGGAAAAGUGAUAUUUUUUCUUGUUUGAGCUUUUUUUUUGGGAAGGAGCCUAAUCACCCUUUUUAGACUACUGAAUGAUUUUAUGUUCAUGAGGAGAAAAAUGAACACCUACUUUCCUUUUAGCUUUUGUUUUUCCUUUUGUGUUGAUGCUGAAAUGAUUGUGGUGAUAUUGAUUACCAGCAUCGGGUUCUUUAGCAAGUUAUCUCUGACUUAAUAUAUAUUGUAAGUCAAUCUCUACUGCAGUUCUGAACUCAACCACUAAGAAUUAUAAUCAGAAAGCUCUUAGCAGUUUUUAGCGGGAGCUGGCUCAAACAUAAGAAUUGCAGUUGCACAUUCAGCUGAAAUAUUGAUUUUAUUUUGCAGUCAUGCAAUAGGUGGAUUGUAAGUUGAGCUAUGUCUGCUGUUCACUUUACUGAUGUUAAGAUAAAUGUUAGGCCCUGCAAUUGACUACUGAGUUUAUCUGUAGUUCACAUCAUAGUCAACAGAGAUAUUUAAGCAGGAAUUCUCAAGUUUUAAUGACAGAGGGCUGUUUUAAGUACUCAAUAUUAGAUUGAAGGCCGCCCAAGAAAAAGUCAUGUCACUUUUUUUCUGAAAAGUUAGUCUUUUAUAUUACAUGCUUUCUAUGUAAUACAAAUUAAAAAUAAAAAUAAAAAAUUACAUGGUUUUAUGACUUUUGGCAAGUUCCUGCAAUUUUUGCAUUACGCCGUGAUUUAGCCUAUUUUCCACUUUGCAUUGUGAUAUACGACAUUGACAUAUAAUGGGGUUAAGGUUGUUCUCACUGUUAAUCAAAAUUUUACUGGAAGCAUGCAUUUCAUGUCAUCUUUACUCAGUGGGUUGCCAUUGUAGACUGCACAUUAAGAACCCCUGUAUGUAAGGUGUGUUCUGAAAAAAAAGUUAAAUUAUUAAACUUUGUUUCCAUUCAAA